GACGAACGCUGGCGGCGUGCCUAAUACAUGCAAGUAGAACGCUGAAGAGAGGAGCUUGCUCUUCUUGGAUGAGUUGCGAACGGGUGAGUAACGCGUAGGUAACCUGCCUUGUAGCGGGGGAUAACUAUUGGAAACGAUAGCUAAUACCGCAUAACAAUGGAUGACACAUGUCAUUUAUUUGAAAGGGGCAAUUGCUCCACUACAAGAUGGACCUGCGUUGUAUUAGCUAGUAGGUGAGGUAACGGCUCACCUAGGCGACGAUACAUAGCCGACCUGAGAGGGUGAUCGGCCACACUGGGACUGAGACACGGCCCAGACUCCUACGGGAGGCAGCAGUAGGGAAUCUUCGGCGAUGGGGGCAACCCUGACCGAGCAACGCCGCGUGAGUGAAGAAGGUUUUCGGAUCGUAAAGCUCUGUUGUAAGUCAAGAACGAGUGUGAGAGUGGAAAGUUCACACUGUGACGGUAGCUUACCAGAAAGGGACGGCUAACUACGUGCCAGCAGCCGCGGUAAUACGUAGGUCCCGAGCGUUGUCCGGAUUUAUUGGGCGUAAAGCGAGCGCAGGCGGUUUGAUAAGUCUGAAGUUAAAGGCUGUGGCUCAACCAUAGUUCGCUUUGGAAACUGUCAAACUUGAGUGCAGAAGGGGAGAGUGGAAUUCCAUGUGUAGCGGUGAAAUGCGUAGAUAUAUGGAGGAACACCGGUGGCGAAAGCGGCUCUCUGGUCUGUAACUGACGCUGAGGCUCGAAAGCGUGGGGAGCGAACAGGAUUAGAUACCCUGGUAGUCCACGCCGUAAACGAUGAGUGCUAGGUGUUGGAUCCUUUCCGGGAUUCAGUGCCGCAGCUAACGCAUUAAGCACUCCGCCUGGGGAGUACGACCGCAAGGUUGAAACUCAAAGGAAUUGACGGGGGCCCGCACAAGCGGUGGAGCAUGUGGUUUAAUUCGAAGCAACGCGAAGAACCUUACCAGGUCUUGACAUCCCGAUGCUAUUUCUAGAGAUAGAAAGUUACUUCGGUACAUCGGUGACAGGUGGUGCAUGGUUGUCGUCAGCUCGUGUCGUGAGAUGUUGGGUUAAGUCCCGCAACGAGCGCAACCCCUAUUGUUAGUUGCCAUCAUUCAGUUGGGCACUCUAGCGAGACUGCCGGUAAUAAACCGGAGGAAGGUGGGGAUGACGUCAAAUCAUCAUGCCCCUUAUGACCUGGGCUACACACGUGCUACAAUGGUUGGUACAACGAGUUGCGAGUCGGUGACGGCAAGCUAAUCUCUUAAAGCCAAUCUCAGUUCGGAUUGUAGGCUGCAACUCGCCUACAUGAAGUCGGAGUCGCUAGUAAUCGCGGAUCAGCACGCCGCGGUGAAUACGUUCCCGGGCCU
rnacentral:rRNA from 1 species